UUAAAUAACCCGCUACGCGCGUUAUUCAGUGUGCACCAAUUUUUUUAUGUUAUUUCUUCAGACAGAAAAAAUAUUACAGUUAUUCCUUUGGUGCACACUGAAUAACGCGCGUAGCGGGUUAUU
rnacentral:sRNA from 1 species